GCUGGCCAAGUUUAACAGGCUGGUUUUGCAAUGCUUCGUUGCAAAUGCAUCACAAAUAAAGAACCCAGAUAGCAGCUGACUCUGGGCCGAAUCCGCCUCCAAACCGGCAGAUCCGUGUAACAGUCACGCCCGUUUUACUGCCCAGUUCCAGAUACGGCCCGCAUGUAGUCUGUGUACACUCAGGAGUGGGCGUGAGCAUCCACCAGUCGGCGGAAUCAUAAUAGUUAUGGCCCGGACUCGUCGGAAGGAGCGCGCGAAUUGUUUCUUUAUUUUUCUUUCGAACCGGUUCAUACCGGACCAGAAGUCAGUCGGCGGAAUCGUAGUUGUUCUGGCCCGGGGCCGUCGGAACGAGCGCGCGAACUGUUUGUCUUUCUUUGGAUCAGUUCGGACUGCAAGCUUUGGGGAAAGAGUUUAUAACGGUUCAAUCUUUUCUUCACCCCUGGCUGAGAGCUCGGGAUUAAUGGGGUAAGGCUUUGUACAUAACAAAAAUUGGAAAGGAGUAAAGGGAAAAGAAAUAUUUUAAAGAAAUGCUGACAAGAACUCUGUUGAUAAGUAAGUAUUUUAGUAUACGUAUUAUAUGUGGAGGUGACUAGUAGAUGAACUAGGAGGGCAAAAAAUCUAAAUAAUCAUUCAUUAGUUGUAAUCGCGGAAAAAUGUUCACUUAAUUGGGAUUUUGAUUUUAGGUCAAAUCUUCCAGCCCUAGUCUAGUCCAGCCCCCUUUAAAAUUACUAAUCUCUGUGGAUUUUAUGUAAUUUGUGAUUGCCAUUAUCAGUUGAGUAAUCACCCAUUCUUUUAUCCUUUGCAGAAAUGAACACAUCGGCCAUCCCCCACUCCACUCCACUACUGAUGAUUUGUUGGGUGUCAUGUGAGGGUUAUGGCAUUCCCACUUCUCCACUUGCCUCAUCAAUGUUUCCCGUAA